UCUUAGAGCAUCUAAAAAUAAAGCAGGCAUCAAGAGAGCAUCCCAGCAGUGCCAUCACAACACAGGGCUCGAAUGUGGACAGGAGGAGGACCUAAGUGGACCCGGAGGCUGAGCUGGCCUCGCAGCACUGGUGGUGGGGGAGGGCUGAUGGUCAGGACUCUGGGUCUUUGGCACUGCUGCCUAGGCCGUGGCCCUCAGUCUGCCCAUCUGUGAAAUGAGGGGGAGCUGGUCCUGACUGCCUCCCAGGGACCCUGUGAAAAGCCGCUCUGAACUCCUUGCCAGAGAGGAGGUUUGCCGGUGCCACAAUCCAGCAUUUCUGGGGUUCACUCUGCUCUGGGUACUGUGUAAAGGACUCCACAGCCAUCAACUUCCCUUCAUCCUUGCCGUGUCUUUGAAAGAGCUGAGAUUUCUUUACAUCACAGUGGUUCAAGGAGAAAAACACAGCCAGAUCCUUCCUCAUCUCAACAUAAAUUAAACCCAGAGGCAGUCAGCGCCACAGUCCACACUCGUAACCGUUACACUCACCUGGAAAUAAAAGUAUUUUUGUGCGGGGACUGCAAGGACUAAGCCCGGCCGCACUCCGAGUUUCUCCUCCUCACAGACUGGAUGAUGAGAGGCACAGCUGAGUCCGGAGCAGACUGAGCCACCUAAGAGGGGAGGAACCGCUGCAGAGAAACCGUGUUAAGCCUUUUUGAAGUUCCAGAGGGAGAACAAGAGAGCGGAGGCUCCUGGUGGCUGGUGACAGGUGCUGAUUUGUUCUGGGGAAAGAGCACAGAAAAGUGCCUGGAGAGGAGGCGGGGCCAAAAUGGGAUGUAGGCGAUGGGAAGGACCCUCAAGACACAGUCCUGGGCUCCCAGGCAGGACCAACCCCCAAACCUGUCCCCCCAGGAGCCUGCAGAGCCACUGCCCUGACAGGGGACACCUCACUUCCUCUCCUUGCAGCUGCUCUUGGCUGGGAGAGCAGAGAACAGGGGACAGGAGAGAAGCCCCGAGAGUACUGAAGCUGAGGCUGGGGCGGUCUUCACUUCCCUCUUUCCUCGGCCCUUUUCCUGUUCUCUUGUCUUGUCUCUCUUUCUCUACUUUCCUUCUCCCUAGCCCAGUCUCUCACCGCUCUUCAGCCUCUGGGCCUUUCCUUCUUCCUCUCUUGCCCUCAUUCUUCCUUCUCUGUCCCUCUUGUCUUCUCUUUUACCUCUUCUCUUCUUCCCUCCUUCCUACAGCUAUGCCCUCUUCCCUCCUUUCUCUUGUCCCCAACCAGGGCAUUAGAAAUGCAUUCCAGUUACACUGAUCUGAUCACUGCAUAUUGUAUGCAUGCAUCAAAAUAUCACAUGUACCCCAGAAAUAUGUAAAUUACUGCAUAUCAAUAAAAAGAAAUGUAGCUUCUUUGCCUCACAUACAGAAAAGCCAAUCUGAAGUAUAAAUAAAUAAACAAACAAAUAAAUAAAACGAACCACACUGGCCCCCCCGCCGCCUCCCAGCCAUCAUCUGGGCCUGCCACUAUUUGCUCAGGGUAUCUAAACAUCAGCCAAAAUCAAAGAAAAAGUUUUAAAAUCUAUUGUUAAAAAUUUCCAAGGCUAAGUUGACAUGCAUGUACAAUAGCAUUUCCCAAACUGUGACUUAAUAAACUCCAAGCCUUCAAGUUGGGAGAGGUGGUUCCAUGAUACCGUUAAAAGCACAGACUGAAGCCCAUCUGCCUGGGUUUAAAUCCUUGCUCUGCAGCAUGAUAGUUAUGUGACC
rnacentral:lncRNA from 10 species